UACGAGGGGGGCGAGCGUUGUUCGGAAUUAUUGGGCGUAAAGGGUGCGUAGGCGGUUUGGUAAGUCUUAUGUGAAAUCUAUGGGCUCAACUCAUAGUCUGCAUGAGAAACUGCCGGGCUUGAGUAUGGGAGAGGUGAGUGGAAUUCCUGGUGUAGCGGUGAAAUGCGUAGAUAUCAGGAGGAACACCGGUGGCGAAGGCGGUGGUCUGGGCCGGCACUGACGCUGAGGAGCGAAAGCGUGGGUAGCAAACAGG
rnacentral:rRNA from 1 species